AAGGCCUUGCGCUUUUGGAGCGGCCGAUGCCUGAUUAGCUUGUUGGUAAGGUAAAAGCUUACCAAGGCUUCGAUCAGUAGCUGGUCUGAGAGGACGACCAGCCACACUGGGACUGAGACACGGCCCAGACUCCUACGGGAGGCAGCAGUGGGGAAUUUUGGACAAUGGGGGCAACCCUGAUCCAGCCAUGCCGCGUGAGUGAAGAAGGCCUUCGGGUUGUAAAGCUCUUUCAGCCGGAACGAAACGGUUACGGUUAAUACCCGUGACUACUGACGGUACCGGAAGAAGAAGCACCGGCUAACUACGUGCCAGCAGCCGCGGUAAUACGUAGGGUGCGAGCGUUAAUCGGAAUUACUGGGCGUAAAGCGUGCGCAGGUGGUUUUGUAAGUCAGAUGUGAAAGCCCCGGGCUCAACCUGGGAACU
rnacentral:rRNA from 1 species